ACGCUGGCGGCGUGCCUAACACAUGCAAGUCGAACGGAGAUUACGGACGGAAGUUUUCGGAUGGAAGACUGUAAUUCUUAGUGGCGGACGGGUGAGUAACGCGUGGGCAACCUGCCCUAUACAGGGGGAUAGCAGCUGGAAACGGCUGGUAAGACCGCAUAAGUCGGCGAGACCGCAUGGUUUUGCCGGGAAAUGAGCAAUCAGGUAUAGGAUGGGCCCGCGUCCGAUUAGCCAGUUGGCAGGGUAAAAGCCUACCAAAGCAACGGUCGGUAGCCGGACUGAGAGGUCGGACGGCCACAUUGGGACUGAGACACGGCCCAAACUCCUACGGGAGGCAGCAGUGGGGGAUAUUGCACAAUGGAGGAAACUCUGAUGCAGCGACGCCGCGUGAGUGAAGAAGUAUUUCGGUAUGUAAAGCUCUAUCAGCAGGGAAGAUGAUGACGGUACCUGACUAAGAAGCCCCGGCUAACUACGUGCCAGCAGCCGCGGUAAUACGUAGGGGGCAAGCGUUAUCCGGAUUUACUGGGUGUAAAGGGAGCGCAGGCGGUUUGGCAAGUUGAGAGUGGAAGCAGGGGGCUCAACCCCCUGACUGCUCCCAAAACUGUUAAACUUGAGUAUGGGAGAGGCAGGCGGAAUUCCUAGUGUAGCGGUGAAAUGCUUAGAUAUUAGGAAGAACACCGGUGGCGAAGGCGGCCUGCUGGACCAAAACUGACGCUGAGGCUCGAAAGCGUGGGUAGCAAACAGGAUUAGAUACCCUGGUAGUCCACGCUGUAAACGAUGAAUACUAGGUGCUGGGAGGCAUAAGCCUUUCGGUGCCGUCGCAAACGCAUUAAGUAUUCCACCUGGGGAGUACGUUCGCAAGAAUGAAACUCAAAGGAAUUGACGGGGACCCGCACAAGCGGUGGAGCAUGUGGUUGAA
rnacentral:rRNA from 1 species